UUUGAAAUCUGGUAGCCUUCGGUUGCCCGAGUUGUAAUCUAGAGAAGUGUUUUCCGUGCCGGCCCAUGUACAAGUCCCUUGGAACAGGGCGUCAUAGAGGGUGAGAAUCCCGUCCUUGACAUGGACCCCCGGUGCUUUGUGAUACACUUUCAACGAGUCGAGUUGUUUGGGAAUGCAGCUCAAAAUGGGUGGUGAAUUCCAUCUAAAGCUAAAUAUUGGCGAGAGACCGAUAGCGAACAAGUACCGUGAGGGAAAGAUGAAAAGCACUUUGGAAAGAGAGUUAAACAGUACGUGAAAUUGUUGAAAGGGAAACGAUUGAAGUCAGUCAUGCUCUUAGGAUUCAGCCGUUCUGCGGUGUAUUUCCUUUGAGUGGGGUCAACAUCAGUUUUGAUCGAUGGAUAAAGGCACGAGGAAGGUAGCACUCUCGGGUGAACUUAUAGCCUCGCGUCAUAUACAUUGAUUGGGACUGAGGAACGCAGCAUGCCUUUAUGGCCGGGAUUCGUCCACGUACAUGCUUAGGAUGUUGACAUAAUGGCUUUAAACGACCCGUCUUGAAACACGGACC
rnacentral:rRNA from 1 species